UGUCCGUGAGUUGAGCUCAGAGGUUGCAUCGUUCCUCAAUCAACUACUGAAGGGGGACUUCGGCUCUGACUCCAAAGCUUUGUACCAAGAGACAGAACAGGAUAUGGGCAAGCAUCGAGCGUGUGCUGGCAGAUCACCCAGCUGAUCAAGUUGUCCGAUUGCUGGCCGUCAUCAGCGAGGAAUCCGCUCUGUCGCUGCGACAAACGACAUCGACCUGAAGAAAGAUGCCGAGCAACUGAGGUUUUAAGCCCUCACCUCAGAAGUCAGCGCCCACGAUGAGGAGCUGCUGAGGCAAGUCCUGCCUGUUCUACAGACCAGACUCAAUGAGUCCACUGAUCAUUAUUUCUGUCUUUGUAUCUGCAGCCCUCACCUCAGAAGUCAGCGCCCACGAUGAGGAGCUGCUGAGGCAAGUCCUGCCUGUUCUACAGACCAGACUCAAUGAGUCUACUGAUCAUCAUUUCUGUGUUUGUAUCUGCAGCCCUCACCUCAGAAGUCAACGCCCACAAUGAGGAGCUACUGAGGCAAGUCCUGCCUGUCCUACAGACCAGACUCAAUGAGUCUACUGAUCAUUAUUUCUGUGUUUGUAUCUGCAGCCCUCACCUCAGAAGUCAGCGCCCACGAUGAGGAGCUGCUGAGGCAAGUCCUGCCUGUCCUACAGACCAAACUCAAUGAGUCUACUGAUCAUUAUUUCUGUGUUUGUAUCAGCAGUCCUCACCUCAGAAGUCAGCGCCCACGACGAGGAGCUGCUGAGGCAAGUCCUGCCUGUUCUAUAGACCAGACUCAAUGAGUCUACUGAUCAUUAUUUCUGUGUUUGUAUCUGCAGCCCUCACCUCAGAAGUCAGCGCCCACGACGAGGAGCUGCUGAGGCAAGUCCUGCCUGUUCUACAGACCAGACUCAAUGAGUCCACUGAUCAUUAUUUCUGUGUUUGUAUCUGCAGCCCUCACCUCAGAAGUCAGCGCCCACGAUGAGGAGCUGCUGAGGCAAGUCCUGCCUGUUCUACAGACCAGACUCAAUGAGUCAACUGAUCAUUAUUUCUGUGUUUGUAUCUGCAGCCCUCACCUCAGAAGUCAGCGCCCACGAUGAGGAGCUGCUGAGGCAAGUCCUGCCUGUCCUACAGACCAAACUCAAUGAGUCUACUGAUCAUUAUUUCUGUGUUUGUAUCUGCAGCCCUCACCUCAGAAGUCAGCGCCCACGAUGAGGAGCUGCUGAGGCAAGUCCUGCCUGUUCUACAGACCAGACUCAAUGAGUCAACUGAUCAUUAUUUCUGUCUUUGUAUCUGCACCCCUCACCUCAGAAGUUAGCGCCCACGAUGAGGAGCUGCUGAGGCAAGUCCUGCCUGUCCUACAAACCAAACUCAAUGAGUCUUCUGAUCAUUAUUUCUGUGUUUGUAUCUGCAGCCCUCACCUCAGAAGUCAGCGCCCACGAUGAGGAGCUGCUGAGGCAAGUCCUGCCUGUUCUACAGACCAGACUCAAUGAGUCAACUGAUCAUCAUUUCUGUGUUUGUAUCUGCAGCCCUCACCUCAGAAGUCAGCGCCCACGAUGAGGAGCUGCUGAGGCAAGUCCUGCCUGUUCUACAGACCAGACUCAAUGAGUCUACUGAUCAUUAUUUCUGUCUUUGUAUCUGCAGCCCUCACCUCAGAAGUCAGCGCUCACGAUGAGGAGCUGCUGAGGCAAGUCCUGCCUGUUCUACAGACCAGACUCAAUGAGUCUACUGAUCAUUAUUUCUGUCUUUGUAUCUGCAGCCCUCACCUCAGAAGUCAGCACCCACGAUGACGAGCUGCUGAGGCAAGUCCUGCCUGUCCUACAGACCAGACUCAAUGAGUCUACUGAUCAUUAUUUCUGUGUUUGUAUCUGCAGCCCUCACCUCAGAAGUCAGCGCCCACGAUGAGGAGCUGCUGAGGCAAGUCCUGCCUGUCCUACAGACCAAACUCAAUGAGUCUACUGAUCAUUAUUUCUGUGUUUGUAUCAGCAGUCCUCACCUCAGAAGUCAGCGCCCACGACGAGGAGCUGCUGAGGCAAGUCCUGCCUGUUCUAUAGACCAGACUCAAUGAGUCUACUGAUCAUUAUUUCUGUGUUUGUAUCUGCAGCCCUCACCUCAGAAGUCAGCGCCCACGACGAGGAGCUGCUGAGGCAAGUCCUGCCUGUUCUACAGACCAGACUCAAUGAGUCCACUGAUCAUUAUUUCUGUGUUUGUAUCUGCAGCCCUCACCUCAGAAGUCAGCGCCCACGAUGAGGAGCUGCUGAGGCAAGUCCUGCCUGUUCUACAGACCAGACUCAAUGAGUCCACUGAUCAUUAUUUCUGUGUUUGUAUCUGCAGCCCUCACCUCAGAAGUCAGCGCCCACGAUGAGGAGCUGCUGAGGCAAGUCCUGCCUGUCCUACAGACCAAACUCAAUGAGUCUACUGAUCAUUAUUUCUGUGUUUGUAUCUGCAGCCCUCACCUCAGAAGUCAGCGCCCACGAUGAGGAGCUGCUGAGGCAAGUCCUGCCUGUUCUACAGACCAGACUCAAUGAGUCAACUGAUCAUUAUUUCUGUCUUUGUAUCUGCACCCCUCACCUCAGAAGUUAGCGCCCACGAUGAGGAGCUGCUGAGGCAAGUCCUGCCUGUCCUACAAACCAAACUCAAUGAGUCUUCUGAUCAUUAUUUCUGUGUUUGUAUCUGCAGCCCUCACCUCAGAAGUCAGC
rnacentral:lncRNA from 1 species